UACGAAGGGGGCUAGCGUUGUUCGGAUUUACUGGGCGUAAAGCGCACGUAGGCGGCUUUGUAAGUUAGAGGUGAAAGCCCGGGGCUCAACCCCGGAAUUGCCUUUAAGACUGCAUCGCUUGAAUCCAGGAGAGGUGAGUGGAAUUCCGAGUGUAGAGGUGAAAUUCGUAGAUAUUCGGAAGAACACCAGUGGCGAAGGCGGCUCACUGGACUGGUAUUGACGCUGAGGUGCGAAAGCGUGGGGAGCAAACAGG
rnacentral:rRNA from 1 species